UACGUAGGGUGCGAGCGUUAAUCGGAAUUACUGGGCGUAAAGCGUGCGCAGGCGGUGAGCUGUGUCCGAUGUGAAAGCCCCGGGCUUAACCUGGGAAUGGCAUUGGAAACUGGCUCGCUGGAGUGUGGCAGAGGGGGGUGGAAUUCCGCGUGUAGCAGUGAAAUGCGUAGAGAUGUGGAGGAACACCGAUGGCGAAGGCAGCCCCCUGGGUCAACACUGACGCUCAUGCACGAAAGCGUGGGGAGCAAACAGG
rnacentral:rRNA from 1 species